rfam:Aedes albopictus isolate Foshan contig27510, whole genome shotgun sequence.
AGCUCCGUAGCUUGGAGGAAAGAAGUGCCCGUCUAGAGAAUUGGGAGUUGUGGGUUCGACUCUCACCGGAGCUC